rnacentral:rRNA from 1 species
CACUCCUGCGGGAGGCAGCAGUGGGGAAUUUUGGACAAUGGGCGAAAGCCUGAUCCAGCAAUGCCGCGUGAGUGAAGAAGGCCUUCGGGUUGUAAAGCUCUUUUGUCAGGGAAGAAACGGUGAAAGCUAAUAUCUUUUGCUAAUGACGGUACCUGAAGAAUAAGCACCGGCUAACUACGUGCCAGCAGCCGCGGUAAUACGUAGGGUGCAAGCGUUAAUCGGAAUUACUGGGCGUAAAGCGUGCGCAGGCGGUUUUGUAAGUCUGAUGUGAAAUCCCCGGGCUCAACCUGGGAAUUGCAUUGGAGACUGCAAGGCUAGAAUCUGGCAGAGGGGGGUAGAAUUCCACGUGUAGCAGUGAAAUGCGUAGAUAUGUGGAGGAACACCGAUGGCGAAGGCAGCCCCCUGGGUCAAGAUUGACGCUCAUGCACGAAAGCGUGGGGAGCAAACAGGAUUAGAUACCCCUGUAGUCCCAUGA